UUUCUAAGAUGACUAUAGGCUCUUCUGUUAGGUACUUAGAAACUUUUUUAUGCUUGACAUCAUGAUGAUGUUGGUGAUCUUCUUCCUUGAUACUUGAUGCCUUCUCAUGAUGGACUUGCUAAGAUGACUGUAAGCUCUUCUCUCUGGUACUUAGAGUCUUCCCAUGAUAGACAUCAAGAUGACAUUGAUGCUCUUCUUUCUCUUGGCAGUUCGGAAC
rnacentral:lncRNA from 1 species